ensembl:lncRNA
ACACACACACACACACACACACACACACACACACACACACACACACACACACACACACACGCACACGCUCUUCCGAUUCAGAGCGAGCGAGUGAUCAUACGAGCGAGAAACUGCCAAACCUCACAUCCCACAUGUAGCAACACUUGAUGUUGCCCUGGCAACGGUUCAGUAUCAAGGCAAACAACACAAAACCAAGCACACAGACAUGAACAACAUGUACAUAGGCACUCACCUAGCUCUCCAUGUCUGUUAACUCGACUGCAUGUUCUCUGACAUAUGUCAACACUCUCUCUCUCUCUCCCUCUCUCUCUCUCUCUCUCGCCCCCACCCUCUCUCUCUCUCUCUCUCGUUAUAUGUGACACAAUGUGAGUUUGGUUUUGUAAUCUGGGCAUGUCAGAAGGAAAGAGUAUCCUGUUCUCUUUACUUUUUGUUGAUUUACAUUAUCAUGUGGUUGUGUGUGUGUGUGUGUGUGUGUGUGUGUGUGUGAGAGAGAGAAAGAAGGUGUGUGUGUUGUUCUUUUAUUGGUCACACUUUAUUGGGAUUGUCCUCUAUAAAGGAUCUCCAGAUGCUCAGAUUAUAAGCAAACUAUAUGUCGAAACUCUGUGAACCUCGAUUGAUGGUUAAGGUUGGGGUUAGGGGUUGGGUUUGGUUAAGGUGAUGUUCAGUGAACAAAUACAAAAACCGUCUGUAAAGUCUCUGUAGGCCGACUAUCCAAAUAAAAUGUUACCAUUGAAGGUGAUGUUCAGUGAACAAAUACAAAAACCGUCUGUAAAGUCUCUGUAGGCCGACUAUCCAAACAGAUGUUUUACCAUUUUAUAGGGGCCUUUUCACAGAACCUUAGUUCUUAGUAGAAGCGCUAAACUGCUGCACCUGCAAGUUUUAUGGCACAGAACCCAACAGUAUGUGCCAUGCAGUGCACGUCCUUCCCUUAUCUGACGUCUUAUCUGAGAAUAGGCAUCAAAUCCAUUCAUUCAUUCAUUCAUUCUUGCAUUGUUUACAGAUAUGCAGAGUAUGCCUCAAUGUAUCAAAGCCCUAGUUAAUAUCAGUGAUAGUAGCAGUAGUAGUAACAGCAGUAAAAACAUUAAUAUAAUAAUAAUAAAGGCAUUAUUAAUGUUUGAAAAAGGCUAUAUUUACACUAUAUAAAAGCAUACCCAUUGAAGUUGUAGUAAGUGUUUCUGUUGUCAAAAUAAAAUUACACCUGAAUUUGCACUGAGUCUGAAUGCAAUAAAAGUUAAAUAAAAGU